GGAUGCGAUCAUACCAGCACUAACGCACCAGAUCCCAUCAGAACUCCGAAGUUAAGCAUGCUUGGGUAAGAGUUGUACUAGGAUGGGUGACCCCUUGGAAGUUCUCGUGAUGCAUCCC